rnacentral:lncRNA from 12 species
CUUGGAAAGGAUUUUAAUCAACCAGCACACGAUUAUUUAUUUAUUUUAUUUAUUUAUUUUUCCCCCCCUUAAAUAGUUGUUUAUUGGCAGGGGGCUGGAAAGAGCAAUGGAGUUAGCAUGUACAGACAACACCACCCACCAAUGUCACGUGGGAGGCCAAAGUGAUGGGAAAGAGCAGCCUGGAGCCCCAGGUGAGGCCCUCUCUUCAAGAGUGAGUGUGGGAGGGUGGGGGCUGUGUGGGUACAGAUCCUGCCUUUCCUAGCCCGGUACGAUCAAACAUGCACUCACCACAACUGGUCAAUCCAUGAGCUUGUUCUUUGCCCUCACAGGCGGAUGCAAUCAAACGUCCAUUAUCAUAUUGCUGCUGCUUUUUUUUUUUUUUUUUAAGAUUUUAUUUGUUUACUCAUGAGAGAGAGAGAGAGGCAGAGACAUGGGAGAGGGAGAAGCAGGCUCUCUACAGGGAGCCGGAUGCGGGACUUGAUCCCUGGACCCAGAUCAUGACCUGAGCUGAAGGCGGGCGCCCAACCACUGAGCCACCCAGGCGACCAUCAUAUUCUUCUUAAUCUGGAACUCAAACAACUACAAGCUCACAUGACCAUUAUUUUCUAUCCUGACCUAAGAGACCGGGAAGCCACUUCUUCACAGGGUCAGCAAGAUGUCGUCAGUCCCCACAUCACUCACGAGUGCAGUACUAUAUCCAUGGAUGAUUCACACUCAAAAUGAUGUCCUUGGGGGCACUCCUGGAUUCUGAGAGGGUGAUUGAAUGACAAUAGAUGACCCAUGUGGAGUAGCAUUUGAAAUGUUGGAUGUAUUUAAUUGAAUCAUGACUCUGAAAAUGGAAUGGCCUCUUUAGCAUUUGGUUAAUUAGAACGCUGAAGCAACCAGGCCAGCCCAUGGUCGAGCUUGCUGGGCAGGCCCAGUUACUGAAUGUACGUGGGUCACCUUUCUUGUGAUGAUCUGUCUGUUUUUAAUCCCAGUCUGCCUGCCACCUAGAGCUCUCCAGGCUGCUCCCACCCCUUGCUAUGUGCCCAACAAACUUAAAUUCAUUUUAGAGAUUAAGCAAAGCAUAAUUAAGAGGACAAACCUUUUAGUGGAAAGAAAACCAUAAUCAGUGAUGCAUUCUGGCCCACAGUACCUGCUGCUUGAACCACCCUCCCCUUGGCUUAGCUCCAUGAGCACUGGGAGCUGGCUCUCACGAUCCUUGGGUUGUGGAUACAUCCACACGGUGUUUUCUGGGGUCAGUCUGUGCCCAUAGUGUUUUG